UGAAGGCUGAGUUCUGGCGCUGAUUCGGGAGGCAAUCGGCAGGGAUGCCGAUUGAGCCGCACUGGGCCAUGGAUGGCCCAUUUGCGGCGACCCCCGAAUCAGAGUCAGGACGAAGGAACCC
rfam:Pseudomonas floridensis strain GEV388 GEV-388_contig_54, whole genome shotgun sequence.